rnacentral:rRNA from 1 species
AGAGUUUGAUCAUGGCUCAGGGUAAACGCUGGCGGCGUGCCUAAAACAUGCAAGUCGAACGGUGUCCUUCGGGGCACAGUGGCAGACGGCUGAGUAACGCGUGGGUGACGUACCUAUCGGUGGGGAAUAACUGCCCGAAAGGGUGGCUAAUACCGCAUACGUCCACUGCUUCGUGGCAGUGGGGAAAACCUUGUAAGAGGUGCCGAUGGAGCGGCCCGCGUUCGAUUAGCUGGUUGGUGGGGUAACGGCCUACCAAGGCGACGAUCGAUAGCUGGUCUCAGAGGAUGAUCAGCCAGACUGGGACUGAGACACGGCCCAGACUCCUACGGGAGGCAGCAGUUAGGAAUUUUGGGCAAUGGGCGCAAGCCUGACCCAGCAACGCCGCGUGGGUGACGAAGGCCUUCGGGUUGUAAAGCCCUUUUCUGAGGGAAGAUGAUGACGGUACCUCAGGAAGAAGCACCGGCUAACUACGUGCCAGCAGCCGCGGUAAUACGUAGGGUGCGAGCGUUGCCCGGAUUUAUUGGGCGUAAAGGGCGCGUAGGCGGUCACGCACGUCCGUUGUGAAAUCGCUCGGCUCAACUGGGCGGGGUCAGCGGAUACGGCGUGGCUGGAGCAAGCUAGGGGGCAAUGGAAUUCCCGGUGUAGUGGUGGAAUGCGUAGAUAUCGGGAGGAACACCAGUGGCGAAGGCGGUUGCCUGGAGCUUUGCUGACGCUGAUGCGCGAAAGCGUGGGGAGCGAUCCGGAUUAGAUACCCUAGUAGUCC